AGAGUUUGAUCAUGGCUCAGAUUGAACGCUGGCGGAAUGCUUUACACAUGCAAGUCGAACGGCAGCAUAGGUGCUUGCACCUGAUGGCGAGUGGCGAACGGGUGAGUAAUACAUCGGAACGUGCCCAGUCGUGGGGGAUAACGUAGCGAAAGUUACGCUAAUACCGCAUACGAUCUACGGAUGAAAGCGGGGGACCGUAAGGCCUCGCGCGAUUGGAGCGGCCGAUGUUAGAUUAGGUAGUUGGUGGGGUAAAGGCUCACCAAGCCGACGAUCUAUAGCUGGUCUGAGAGGAUGAUCAGCCACACUGGGACUGAGACACGGCCCAGACUCCUACGGGAGGCAGCAGUGGGGAAUUUUGGACAAUGGGCGCAAGCCUGAUCCAGCCAUUCCGCGUGCAGGACGAAGGCCUUCGGGUUGUAAACUGCUUUUGUACAGAACGAAAAGCUCUGGGUUAAUACCUCGGGGUAAUGACGGUACUGUAAGAAUAAGCACCGGCUAACUACGUGCCAGCAGCCGCGGUAAU
rnacentral:rRNA from 1 species